rnacentral:lncRNA from 1 species
CAUAAGCCAACUGGCAAAUGUAGAUAUAAAAAACAAACAAAGAUGAAGGCUGCACUCUUUGGUCUUCUAAAUAAAAAUUGCAAACUGUUUUAUUCAAUAUGCAUUAAAAAGAAUUGAUCGACGUUUCAGCCCCAAUCUGGGCUUUCUUCAGGAUCAGAAAUAACAAAAAAAAAAUAAAAAUACAUGACAAAUAAUUCAGCUUAUAUAUCAUAAAUAAAAUAGUAAGACUCACCACAGCUGAUGUGCACCCCGCGUCCUAUCAAUCGCUAUGCACAUGCGCAAUACGGACCAAUCAGGGUUUGCUCGCGCGGAGCAUGUGACCACAGUCUCCAUUCACAUAAAGUACAUCUACGUGGGUGGCAGCAAGCAUAGGGCUGAUGUCACGCCCAUUGAUGGUACAAAUGCCGUCCUCCUAUCGCUGUGCGCCCUGGGCGCAUGCGCAAACAGUUGAUAUAAUAAGAUGUCCACGCAUAAUGGCCUUGGAAGCACACCAAUUAUUAAUUGGCGAAGUGUCCUGUAGAUUGUUGUCUAAGAAGAAAAAUUCUAUUUUCUGUUUCAAAUAUUCAUAAUUGCUUUCAUAUUUCAAAAGAAGAACACCACUAUGGGGAGGGGGGAAGAACACUAUGGGGAAGGGAAAGAACACUAAGGGGGAGAGAGAGAGAAACAUUUAGGGAGAGCACUAAGGUACAGGGAAGGGAAGGGGAAAUGAACACUGGGGUAGGGGGGGCACUAAAAGAUAUGGGAGAGGAACAUUAAGGGGAAUGGGUUGGGGGUGGGUGGAGUUCCAGUUCCUGUUCCUAGUCAGCUGCAGUCCGAACUCGCUUCCUAGUCAGCUGCAGUCCGAACUCGCUAUGCUCCUUCCAAGACCAUUGGCGUCCUUCGAGUCAGUGUGGAUUCAGCCUUGCUCGUCAUCGUUUCAUCCCCGCCGCGGUAUCUGUCCGCCCCUACCUCAGAACGCGGGUAUGGCGUGCAGACGUGCUACGUCAUCGCGCAUCCCCAAAAUCCAUGUGAUUUUAGAUGUUCCCGCAAUUUUUCACUGCGAUGAGAUCUUCCUUUACAAUACAGCCCUUCAGUAACCAAUAGUCUCUUAUGCAGAGACUCCUCAAAGCUGUUUGCUCAUUCCCUCUGGUGCUGUAAAAAAUAAAAAUAUAGUUUAAACUCACCAAAUCGUAACCGGAAAGCAUAUUACAAUCUACAUAUUUUAUAUUAUUAGAAACUACAAUUUCCAUGUUGAGGAUUGGAGGAGUAGAAAGAAUGAUAGAGCGCUUUUAAUUUUGACUUAAAGCAUCUCUGUGACACCCACAAAUUAAGACAAAAUAGGGACAACUUUAUCCGAAGUAUCUUUCCUACUCUUGACACAAGGCAGAGCUACCUGAGAUACCCUUAUGCAUGCCUGUGAGCAGAGCACUUCCGUUGGCUCCUGGCAGAUGAAGCCCCAGGAGUUGAAGAGGCCCUUGAGAAAGAAGAUGCAUACAAAGGACAUUUUAAGUCAAGUAAAAAUUACCUUCACCUGUUCUCCAUGGCCACUGGAAUACAAGUGGAACAGUGACCAUCUGGGGUCUUUGCAUAAUAUGUAAAAUACAUAAAUAAAUAUCAUCAAAAGAUGAAGUACUUUAGGGGUCCAUAGUAAUUUCAGAACUGGGUAUAAUGCAACAGAGGGUUCUGUUUUAUGAACCUGGUGAAUUCCUGCAUAGCCGCCAAUCAUAGAUGAUACACAACGGUCCUCUUAUUAAACAGAACAACGGUUUCCACCCCGAACUGGGCUACCAUAUCUAAAAUACAGAAAAUGAACUUAGUGUAUAAUGUUUUAAACUGCCUCCUUUAUCAAACUCUGAAUUUUAAUCUGGAAUGGAGAAAACAGUCUAACGCAGGCAUGUCCAAAGUCCAGCCCGCGGGCCAUUUGCGGCCAGCGUUUCCGGUUCAAUACGGCCCCACAGGUAGUUUGGCUAAUCUACCUGUUGUGGCCCCCAGUGAACCCCCGCGCCGGGAUUCAGUGGGGGGCCAAGAUAUCACAAAAAACGCAGAUGGGAGUGCAGUGACCUCAGUCUGCAUUCUCACAAUCUCUUGGACGUCAUGGGAUUCGCGGGAUUUGGUUCCUUCUCCCUGCAGAGAAUCGACAGAAUAAAAUGGGGCAGAAUACAGAGGGGAAGACUAAAGAAAGGCAGAAUACAGACUGCGUACAGAGGUGCAGACUGGCAGGAUACAGAGGGGCAGAAUAAAGAUUGGCAGACUAAAGAAAGAAGGGACAGAGUAAAGAGAGAAGGGACAGACUAAAGAGAGAAGGGACAGACUAAAGAGAGAAGGGACAGAGUAAAGAGAGAAGGGACAGAGUAAAGAGAGAAGGGACAGAGUAAAGAGACAAAAUAAAGAGAUCUCAGACAGAAGAGAUGAAAUGAAAAGUAUGCCGUUUGCAAUAAACUUUGCAAAAAAUUGUUCAUUUGCCUUACAUUUUUUAUGGUUCAAAGAAUGUCAGGCAAAAUGGUUGGCCCUCACGCAUGUUCACUUAAUCAAAUUUGGCCCUCUUUGAAAAAAGUUUGGACACCCCUGGUCUAACGUAUAAUAAUUUAGACGUGAUCAAACUGGGGAACUAUAUCUACAACACUUUAUCCCCCCACCCCCCGAUUAAAGUGACAUAUGGAUCCUGAUAAGUAUAAGCAGUGUUUAGGUGAUACAGUCACAAUAUAAGCAGUAUUCAGGUGAUACGGUCCCAGUCAGUGGCAUACACACAAUCCACGGGGACCCGGUGCCAAACUGAACCAUGGGCCCCCCCCCUUCCAACAGACACACACAUACAUACAGACACACAUACAUACACACACACACACAAGACACAUAUACAUACAAACAGACACAUACACACAUACAAAUAGACAGACACACACACAAAUAUACAAAAUAUUUAAGUCACCCUCCUGUUUCCUACCUUUUAAGAGCAGGAGGGUGACUUUCCCUGGAGUCCAGUAGUGGCUCAGUUUGAUGGGAGUCAGAGUUCCUACUUUGACUCCCUCUUCUCCUUUCUUCCGCGCGGCUCUCUGAUAGCUGGGAGGAGUGACCGGGGCAGUAACUUCCUCCCAGCAUGUGAUGUCAUCACAGGGGACUCGGUCACGCUGUUAAAGCACCCAGUGCUAACCGGGCCCCCUGAAAAUCCAUACCCAUCGGGUGGCCCUAACAGCAUGGGCCACCCGACGGAUCCCUUUAAAACACUGGGGCCACAAAACAUGAUGGCGGGCACUCUGUCGCAAGGGUUGCACAGCUGCGCCCCCUAUAUGUAUGCCACUGGUCACAGUAUAAGCACUGUUUAGGUGAUACAGUCACA